AAGUCGUAACAAGGUUUCCGUAGGUGAACCUGCGGAAGGAUCAUUAGUGAUUGCCUUCAUUGGCUUAAAACUAUAUCCACAUACACCUGUGAACUGUUCUACUACUUGACGCAAGUCGAGUAUUUUUACAAACAAUGUGUAAUGAACGUCGUUUUAUUAUAACAAAAUAAAACUUUCAACAACGGAUCUCUUGGCUCUC
rnacentral:misc_RNA from 1 species